AUGAUCAGCACGAUGCAUAGUCUUUACAAAAUCUUCACCAUUCUCGUAAAGCAGAAAUGAUUCAUUACUCACUGGAAGUGCUUCAAUUUCAUUACUGGGUGUGAGGUCCUCGGGAACUUGUGCAAGUGGGGAUGUAGCUGAUGCAGCAAGUUAAACAGGCUUGGUAUCGAGCGGCGUCACAUGAUCGGAACGAUGUAUA
rnacentral:lncRNA from 1 species